rnacentral:rRNA from 1 species
CCUACGGGAGGCAGCAGUGAGGAAUAUUGGUCAAUGGUCGGGAGACUGAACCAGCCAAGCCGCGUGAGGGAUGAAGGUACAGAGUAUCGUAAACCUCUUUUGUCAGGGAACAAAGGCGGGGACGUGUCCCCGGUUGAGUGUACCUGAAGAAAAAGCAUCGGCUAACUCCGUGCCAGCAGCCGCGGUAAUACGGGGGAUGCGAGCGUUUUCCGGAUUUAUUGGGGUUAAAGGGUGUGCAGGCGGUCUGUUAAGUCCGCGGUCAAAGCCCGGGGCUCAACCCCGGCCCGCCGUUGAAACUGGCAGUCUCGAGUUGGAGAGAAGUAUGCGGAAUGCGCGGUGUAGCGGUGAAAUGCAUAGAUAUCGCGCAGAACUCCGAUUGCGAAGGCAGCAUGCCGGCUCCACACUGACGCUGAGGCACGAAAGCGUGGGUAUCGAACAGGAUUAGAUACCCGUAGUC